UUCUUAUCUUGCAGUUUUGGAGGUCAAAAGCAUGACAUCGAUCUUACUGGCUAAAAUCAAAACUGCAGUCUGCAGGGCCGCAUUCUUUCUCGAGGCUUUAAAAUCCAUUUCCUUGUCUUUCCAGCUUCUAGAGACUUCUAGCAUACUUUGGCUUGUGGCAUCUUCCAUCUUCAAAGCCUACAGCAGUCAACUGAGUCCUUCUCACAUCACAUCUCCUCUUCUGACUCUCACGUUCCCUCUUCCACUUCAAAGGGUCCUUCCUUGUGACAAUGCUGGAUCACUCCUUACUUUAAGGUCCUCUCCUGGGAGAAACACUUCAACUUUUGCAAAAGAUUCAUUAAUUCAUCACCAUGGCACCCAGAAAAAAAAAAUGCAAAAGAGAAGACUCAAGUUGUGGCCGACCCAAGGUGGCUGCAAACUGAGAUUUUCCUCGUUGAGAGGUGGGGGUCUAAGUUCCCUCCCUUGAACCUAGGCAGGCCCUCUGACUGCCUAACCAACAGAAAUAGCAUGGAAGCGACACUGUACCGGUUUUUGAGGCUAAGCCUGAAGAGACUGGCAGUUCCCACUUCCUGUCGUCUGGGAAUAAUUGUUCUUGAAACCUAAGUGCUAUGCUGUGAGGAAGCCAAGCAGCCUCGUUGACAGGCCCACAUGGAGCGGAACCAAACCCUGGCCAGCAGCCCCUGCUGCACCCCUAGCUGACAGCCAGGUUCGACUUGUCUUGCAUACCAGUAUGUCAUCUUGGAUGAGGAUCCCCUAGUAGGGCCAUCUCAGCUGAUGCUCCAAGGAGCAGAGAUGAGCCAUCCCCACCAAGCCCUGCAAGAAAGACUGCCAACUAAUCAGGAGGAAGACUUGCAAGUUGGGUUGGGUAUACUGAAGUGUAAACAUGUAGCUGCUACUCUUUUUUUUU
rnacentral:lncRNA from 1 species